UUGAAAAUUAAUUGAUAUUUUAUUAUUUCCAUUCAACAAACAUCCAGCAGGCUCCUUAAAUCAUUUUUUGUUGCAAAGUGUUAGUUCAGUGAGCUUAAGUCGACCCCUCGAUCAGGUCUCAAAAUUAAAUUUGUCUACAGUUAAUAAACACCUGUUGCGUGUUUCCACCUUCAUUGAACAAUUACUGUUGUACCUUAAGAAGAGAAGCUUUAUGUUUUGUUUGGUAUAUUCCAAUCCAUGCAACCUCAAUACAGUUAAUGUCCAGGUUUCGCGAGUGCAAAAGCUACCGAAGUAGAUUAAAUGACUACUAGGUGCAGCUGACCAAUGACGCAGACAACUCCGUCAGCUACUUACCAGAACAUCGCGAGGAAAUUGCCGCCAUUCUAUAAAUGCUUUCGCUUAAAGAUUCAUCAACGAGUGAUAGGACACGCGCCCUACUAAAGGAAAAAAGAAGCCCAUUAUGCGCACAUGUGGUAAAAGUUCGACCGCAAGCUAGAUUUGAGAAAAGCUGGAAAAUUUUCUGACAAACGCGGUACAUACAUACGUACAUGGUGAUGAAUUUCAUUCCCGCUUACUGGUUGAUAUUAAGGCAAUACCAUGCUCUCUACAAAUGCCGCAGUAAAUAGAGCGCAACCGACUUCCCACAUCUAGCAAGCAAAAAGG